GUGCUCACUUCGGCAGCAUAUACACUAAACUUGGAAUGAUACAGAGAAGAUUAGCAUGGGCCCUGUGCAAGGAUGACAUGCAAAUUUGUGAAGAAAAGAUUUUUUAA
rnacentral:snRNA from 1 species